GAAACUUCAACUAACAAAUGACUGGAAAUUUACAAGAUUCAUGAUUCAAACAGAGUACUUACAGCUUCAAAUACCAGAAAUUAUAUACUCAAUUCACACGAAAAUAAUUAAUUUCCAAAAAAAGAAACAAAGAUACACGUACCAUAAUUUUAUUUCCGGCUAUCAUUAUCAUAGUCGAGAAUUUCAUCACGAGUAACAGAUCUAGAGUGCUGCACUAUAGACCGUCCG
rnacentral:misc_RNA from 1 species